GACGAACGCUGGCGGCGUGCUUACCACAUGCAAGUCGAACGGUAAGGCCCUUCGGGGUACACGAGUGGCGAACGGGGGAGUAACACGUGGGUGAUCUGCCCUGCACUUCGGGAUAAGCCUGGAAACUGGGUCUAAUACCGGGUAGGAUCCCUGCCAGCCUGGGUGGGGGUGGAAGGCUUUGGCGGUGUGGGAGGGGCCCGCGGCCUAUCAGAUUGUUGGUGGGGUGAUGGCCUACCAAGGCGACGACGGGUAGCCGGCCUGGGAGGGUGACGGGCCACACUGGGACUGAGAUACGGCCCAGACUCCUACGGGAGGCAGCAGUGGGGAAUAUUGCACAAUGGGCGCAAGCCUGAUGCAGCGACGCCGCGUGAGGGAUGACGGCCUUCGGGUUGUAAACCUCUUUCAGCACCGACGAAGCGAAAGUGACGGUACCUGCAGAAAAAGCACCGGCUAACUACGUGCCAGCCGCCGCAGUAA
rnacentral:rRNA from 1 species